ensembl:lncRNA
GUAUUGCUCUCUUCAGCAGAGUUCUUGUCUCCGGGUCUGACAGCAUCCUCCCCCCGGCCGCUUCACCACUAUCUGUCCAGUCACUAUCAAUUACUAAGCUCUGAAACAUCCUGCACCCUGUACACCUUCCACGGCGAGUGUGAAUGCACAUGUCGGGGCCUUGACCUGCUAUGUGUGUGCGUGCCGCAUGUCAGGAAACGAGAGGACAAAGAUGUUGGAGCUCUGGUACAGUGGUCAACCCAUGCAGGAGACCGGCACAGAAAUGGGGAUGGAAAGAAUGGGAUUCGGUAUAUGCUGAUGAAGAGGAAUUCAAGAUUGAUGAUGAUGAAUCAUGAUGAGUCACUGUAAAAAAGUCAGAGACUAGUGCAAUGUGGUGAUAAUAACAACAGCUGUGGUCAUGAAAUGAUUCAGACAUCUGCUCCCCAUUGAAUAUUUUGUUUACUCUCAUAAUGAGGCAACAGCUUAUUUAGCAUGUUUUAUUAUUACUGAACUAAUCAAUGCAGGGGACUACAGAGUGUGUCCUGGGUCAUGUUCAUCCAGUGUGGCUUACUACGUCAGCCUGGAAAGUUUCGAAAGAACACAGGUUCAUUCCAUGUUAUCUUCAACAUUUUCUGGCUGACCAGUUGGACCAGAUGGUCCUUGAUUGCAUAGCAGUACAAUGCCAGCACUGACUUUGGGAUCAGUCUUAAAGGAAUAUUUUGUGCAAAAUGAAAGUUCUGUGCCAUUUACUCACCCUUAUGUCAUUUCAAAUCUGUAUCUGUAAAACAUGACCUAAUUUUUGUGUUCAGAAAAUAAAUAAAUAAAUAAAUAAAAAUAAGAAUAAUAAGAAGAAAUAUAGAAAUAGGAUGAGCCCAAGCCCCAGUGCCACUGCCACCCUGGUGGCUUCAAGAAAAUUGUGCACAGUCGGUGCAUGCAUUUACAGUGUGAAAAAGAUACACACACAGAGAGG